rnacentral:rRNA from 1 species
GAUGAACGCUGGCGGCGUGCUUAACACAUGCAAGUCGAACGAUGAAGCCCAGCUUGCUGGGUGGAUUAGUGGCGAACGGGUGAGUAACACGCGAGUAACCUGCCCUUAACUCUGGGAUAAGCCUGGGAAACUGGGUCUAAUACCGGAUAGGAGCGUCCACCGCAUGGUGGGUGUUGGAAAGAUUUAUCGGUUUUGGAUGGACUCGCGGCCUAUCAGCUUGUUGGUGAGUUAAUGGCUCACCAAGGCGACGACGGGUAGCCGGCCUGGGAGGGUGACCGGCCCCACUGGGACUGGAACACGGCCCAGACCACUCCGGGAGGCAGCAGUGGGGAAUAUUGCACAAUGGGCGGAAGCCUGAUGCAGCGAAGCAGCGUGGGGGAUGACGGCCUUCGGGUUGUAAACCUCUUUCAGUAGGGAAGAAGCGAAAGUGACGGUACCUGCAGAAGAAGCACCGGCUAACUACGUG